rnacentral:misc_RNA from 1 species
CCUUCCGUAGGUGAACCUGCGGAAGGAUCAUUACCGAGUGCGGGCCCCUCGGGGCCCAACCUCCCACCCGUGUUGCCCGAACCUAUGUUGCCUCGGCGGGCCCCGCGCCCGCCGACGGCCCCCCUGAACGCUGUCUGAAGUUGCAGUCUGAGACCUAUAACGAAAUUAGUUAAAACUUUCAACAACGGAUCUCUUGGUUCCGGCAUCGAUGAAGAACGCAGCGAAAUGCGAUAACUAAUGUGAAUUGCAGAAUUCAGUGAAUCAUCGAGUCUUUGAACGCACAUUGCGCCCUCUGGUAUUCCGGAGGGCAUGCCUGUCCGAGCGUCAUUGCUGCCCUCAAGCCCGGCUUGUGUGUUGGGCCCCGUCCCCCCCGCCGGGGGGACGGGCCCGAAAGGCAGCGGCGGCACCGCGUCCGGUCCUCGAGCGUAUGGGGCUUCGUCACCCGCUCUAGUAGGCCCGGCCGGCGCCAGCCGACCCCCAACCUUUAAUUAUCUCAGGUGACCUCGAUCAGUAGUUCCC